CCCUUAGAUGUCCUGGGCCACACGCGCGCUACACUGAUGCAUUCAACGAGUCUAAAACCUGCUCUGAUAGGGGUGGGUAAUCUUUUGAAUGUGCAUCGUGAUUGGGAUAGAUGAUUGCAAUUUUUCAUCUUCAACGAGGAAUGCCUAGUAAACGCAAGUCAUCAGCUUGCAUUGAUUACGUCCCUGCCCUUUGUACACACCGCCCGUCGCUCCUACCGAUUGAAUGAUCCGAUGAAUAUCAUGGAUUGAGGAUUAUAGCAGGUUCGCCUGUCUUGAUCUUCGAGAAGUGAAGUAAAUCUUAUCAUUUAGAGGAAGGAGAAGUCGUAACA
rnacentral:rRNA from 1 species